rnacentral:rRNA from 1 species
UACGAAGGUGGCAAGCGUUACUCGGAAUUACUAGGCGUAAAGGGCAGGUAGGUGGUCUGACAAGUCUGUUGUGGAAGCUCCCGGCUUAACUGGGAGAGGUCAACGGAAACUGUCAGGCUUGAGUGUGGGAGAGGAUAUUGGAAUUCCCGGUGUAGCGGUGAAAUGCGCAGAGAUCGGGAGGAACACCUAUGGCGAAAGCAGAUAUCUGGACCACUACUGACACUCAGCUGCGAAAGCUAGGGGAGCAAACAGG